rnacentral:tRNA from 1 species
GCCGGAAUAGCUCAGUCGGCAGAGCAACUGAUUCGUAAUCAGUAGGUCGGCGGUUCAAGUCCGCCUUCCGGCACCA